AAAAUCUUCAAGAGAGUUAAGAUAAUCCAUGACGCGCCGUUCAAAUGGGAAUCUGCUUAUUUAAGCGAUGCAAAAAUUAAAGAAAUCAAGCACCAAAAUGAAUUAAACCGCAGAAUUCUGGAAAAUUUGAUGUGAAGAUUCAAAGAGCUACGGUAAAAGUCUUAAUUUUAACAAUAAUAUGAUUAUUUACAAGAGUUAGGAUCCGUUGACACCAAAUCUCAUCCCUCAAUCUAUUUAAUCCAAAGGCACAUAUUGUUGGUGUA